CAGCCGCCGCGGUAAUACGGAGGAUGCAAGCGUUAUCCGGAUUUAUUGGGUUUAAAGGGUGCGUAGGCGGAAUGAUAAGUCAGUGGUGAAAUCCUGCAGCUUAACUGUAGAACUGCCAUUGAUACUGUUAUUCUUGAAUAUAGUUGAGGUAGGCGGAAUGUGUAAUGUAGCGGUGAAAUGCAUAGAUAUUACACAGAACACCGAUUGCGUAGGCAGCUUACUAAGCUAUUAUUGACGCUGAGGCACGAAAGCGUGGGGAUCGAACAGGAUUAGAUACCCUGGUAGUCCACGCUGUAAACGAUGAUCACUAGCUGUUGGCGAUACACCGAUCAGCGGCAAAGCGAAAGCAUUAAGUGAUCCACCUGGGGAGUACGGUCGCAAGAUUGAAACUCAAAGGAAUUGACGGGGGCCCGCACAAGCGGAGGAACAUGUGGUUUAAUUCGAUGAUACGCGAGGAACCUUACCUGGGCUUAAAUGCAGGACGACGUCCCGAGAAAUCGGGACUCUCUUCGGAGCGGACUGCAAGGUGCUGCAUGGUUGUCGUCAGCUCGUGCCGUGAGGUGUCGGGUUAAGUCCCAUAACGAGCGCCACCCCUAUCGUUAGUUGCCAGCGAGUCAAGUCGGGGACUCUAACGAAACUGCCGGUGUAAACCGAGAGGAAGGUGGGGAUGACGUCCAAUCAGCACGGCCCUUAUGUNCAGGGCUACACACGUGUUACAAUGGUCGGUACAAAGGGUA
rnacentral:rRNA from 1 species